CCGUACCGAUCAAAGCUGCUAGAAUUGAUCAAGCAUACUGCUUCUCACAAGCCUCUCGUCGCCAGUACCAAAAUAUCCGAAAGGGUGAUUACACUCAUUAAGCAGCUAUUGGCUUCUCCAGCACCCCUUCAGGAUGUAGCAGUGAUGGACACCCAGGACUUAGCACUUGAUUGUAU